rnacentral:lncRNA from 1 species
UUACACGUGUGCGUAUAAGGUGCGAAGUGAGGCUGCCAAUUUUUGCACAAAAAUCCAUAAAUGGCUUGAUUUUUUCUUAUGCUAUUCAGAAUUUGCAGCGAUCUGACAACGGUCGUAGACGAGAGUGCCCCGCGCGGGGUGAAAGCACGGGGACACUAGAUGGGGGACAACCCGAUGCGCUCAAUAUAUAAAACAUAUGAGUUUGUCGCUCAUUUACUCACAGACACAUCUACAUCAUGAUCAGAGCAAUCUCGCUGUGUCUCGUAGCCCUCGCGCUAUCCGCACCGGCGCUAGCCGCGGAAAAAGAAACCAAGCCCUCGAAGCGCAGCUCCAUCGGGGACUACGUGCACGGCGACCUUGCCGCCCCGCCUAUGGAUACGGGAUCCCGCACGGGUAUGAGGUAGGUGCCGGCCAUGCUCUCGGCGCAUCCCUCUACGCCAAGGCUGCCCUUGGUUACGGCUACGGAGCCGCUGCCCUUGCCGCACCCGCCUACGGAGCCGCCUACGGAGCCGCCGUCGCUGCGCCAGCCCUAGGAGCCUCCGCCUACGGACUCGGAGCCGCCGCCAUCGCUGCCCCAGCUAUCGCCGCUGCCCCUGCCAUCGCCGCAGCCCCCGCCGUGGCUGCUGCCCCCGUUGCGCCGGCUGCCAUCCCCCACACCUACAGCGAAGUCCACCAAGCUGUCCCCUACCCAGUCGCACAGCCUUACCCUGUCACCGUCACCAAACCCGUCCCUGUGCCUGUGCCACAAGCCGUGCCUGUGUCCAAGCCUGUGCCUGUUCCCGUCUCCGUACCGGCGCCAUACCCAGUGACUGUCCCCCGUCCGUACCCAGUUGACGUGCCCCGCGCCGUCCCAGUCUCCGUACCCCAACCCUACCCCGUCUCUGUGCCAAGACCAGUCGGUGUCCCUGUCCCGCAGCCCGUCCCAGUCACCAUCCCUAAGCCAUACCCUGUCUCCGUCCCUGCACCUUACCCAGUUUCCGUUCCCACUGUUGUCGCUUCAGCACCAGCGGUAGCUCCCGCAGUAGCACCCGCCGUUGCAGCCGUAGCCCCAGCCGUUUACGGUAGCUACGGUGGAUACGGAGGUUAUGGAGCAGGUUACGGACUCGGCUACGGAGCCGUCGGUCACUCAGCUCUGCUCGGUUACUCCGGGCUUGGAUAUAAAUAUGGCGGCUAUGGUGGCUAUGCUGGCUACGGAGGAUACGGUCACGGAGGAUACGCUCUAGGAGGAUACAAAUCUUACGCUGCUGUUGCUCCCUACCAUGCGGCGACGUCUUUGUUGGGUGGAGCUCACGCUUACGGUAGCUAUGCUGGCUACAAACUCGCGUCGCCUUUGAUUGGUGGAUACGCUGGUCUCAAGUACUCGGCUCCUUACGCAGGCUACUCAAGUUACAAACUGGGAACACCCUACGGUAUCCACGGCUACCACCGUUAAGUUGGGGAUAGAUGUGCGUGAAAUCGCGCUCUCUGUGCCAAAUAUUAUGUUCAAAUUCUGAAGUGUUAAGUGCCAGAAGCGGGAAAGUUCUUCAAGGUUUGUUUUUUUAUUGACGUUUGAGGAUUUUUCCCUCGCACUGGUUUAGCUGCGCGGUCGAAGCGGAGCAGUCUAUAAGUUCAACAGAAAAUGUGAAAAUUUUAAUAAAAACAUUGAUUAAUUCCGCUGUCCUUGACUGUAAGAAACAGAGUACUGAUAAUUUUUAAAAAUGCUAUUCAAAACGGAAUGCAAAAUGGUGAUAUAAUUGAAAAUGUAAUAUGGCAUCGAUCGAAAAAAGAAAUAAUUUUCAAAUAUACUUCCACAUAUAACUCGACGUAAAUAGUGGGAUACAGAAAGGUCUUAUACCUCAUAAUUAUUCAAAUACUUUGAAUUUUAAAUCGAAUACUUCUAAGUUACCACGUGAUCUUACAGCGAGAAAACCUUUGCGAACCACCCAUUAAUUUCCUGAUCCUCUAUAAAAUAGACUAGGGUUGUCUUUGAGGAUAUUUUUUCACAUAAUAACGACAAGGAAACCUUUACUUAAAUUAUACGUAUUAUAAAAAGACUGUAAGCUAACUUAAAAGCUAUGAAUACGUCCUCUCAGCAGUAUUCGAAUAACGCUGCAUUUCUUAUGAUAGUCAUUAGGUUAAGAUACCUCGCCCUAACCUCUUUCGCUAAUAUCGAAUACGAGAUAUCCGUGUUCAACGUGAAUUAAAGUUACCAUUCAGUUACCAGGCGUGUCUAUCGCUGAUCAACGGUUGGAGCAAUUUUCUAACCAGAAGUUUGUUUUUAUGUUAAUGUUAAAUGUGUUUUGUUCUUUUUUACUUAAUUAGAUUGUAAGUUUUGAAGAAUAAACUUCUCAAAAAUUAAGAAGUCCUUUCCUCAUUUUCCUCAGCUUACCAUCAUUUUAUAGGUAAAAGAUGAAUUCGAUCAGUCAAUAAUAUACUCCUCUCCUAAGUUGAAAGUACUAAAACGAUAAAAAAAACUAAUAAAUCAAUUUUUUCUUCUUCAAAACGUAAUGGAGAAUCCGUUUGAAAUACUGUAAGAAUCGAUUCAAAUUAUGUCACAAAAGAAAAUUGUUCAUGACAUAGAUUGCCAUUAAGUAGAAUGUGUGUAAAAGUUACUAGUAAAGCUGACUGCAUUACUUUUUGGAGUGACCACGUAGUAACGAGAUAUUCUGUAUGAUAUAAAUUGCCUUACAACUUACAUGAAACCAUAAAACGAAUUUUCAAUCAAACUACUUCACAAAUUUUGUUAAUUUCUGAAAAGAUUUUUAUUUUUAAAGUAAGGCAGUUCUGAUGUAAAGAGGCUAGAGUUUUGAAUAAAAUCUACCUGAUUUUAUCAGCGGCAUUGAAAAACGAAUCUUUGAAGUCCGAACUUUAAAACAAUUUCAAAAGUCAAAAUGUUUAAAGGAACAUCGUAAAAAUGUUAUUUUAAAAUUUUACUGAAAGAAGAAAGGAAGAUACAAAAAUCAGACUUAUCAAUAAAACUUAAAAAAGAUAAUAGAAAAAAUUUCCGGUGAAUUUAAAAGAAGCAUCUUUAUAAAAAAUAAAUAUCGCGAUUAGGGAAUCGAAAUAAUAAAAAUGUAACACAUUCAUAAUCAGAAGUAUACACAAAAUCACAAAUUGAAGCAUAAGUUUUUCUCGUCUUACUUUAUCUCAAAAAACUUCCAUAAGACACGAAAAUUUGAUUAAAAUAAAUGGCAAAUAUUUAUCAGUAUCAAUUUCGAUAUUUUCAUUCCCGCUAAGCAUACAAAUGCUGUUAUACAAAAUUACCUUCUUUCUGGCAAUAACAGUUACCACACAGUUACUGGUAGA